UUUUUUUGUUGGUUGAUCAUGUGCAACUACUGUCAAAGCAAAAUUCAGCUAGACUACAGAUUUUGCAAGGUAUGUGGUUUAUAGUAGUUAUCUGAAUUAAAUGAAAAUUAAGUUGUUUUGGGCUUCUGAUGUACACAAGUUCUUUUAAUAACAUGAUUUUUUGUAAACCCAGGGGUUUCAAUAUCAAAUUCAGCCUUAGUCUCCUAUGAAAGUAAGUUUUGCUCUCUUUUGGUUUUAGUUGUGUGUAACUGUUUUCUAGUUAGGCAUGGACUGGCUUUUCGGCAUUGAUUCAGUUUGUUGGCUCAGGUUUGUUAUCAAUGUCACUAUGAUAUAAAACAUUACUUAAUGAUUGCAUAUAUAAUCUUUUCUGACUCUUGCUAAGGUAUAAUAUUCUUUAUCAUGCUUCAAGUAUUUUACGCUGAAGUUGGAGGGCAUCAUGCAUGUUACCACAUCAAAAUAACAAGUACGAGUAAGCAACCAAAUUUUGCCAGCCACUACUCUAGAUGCUAAAGGGUUUUCUUUGGUUUCAGAAGAGCAGAUUUUAGGAACAAAAAGGUUUGAAGACCAUCCAGUCAGCAGCAAUGAAGAAUGUUAAGCAGGUUUAUCAAACAUUUGAAUAAGUAGAGAUUUCGAGAAUAGUGGAGGUUGAUGCGUAUGAUCUAGUACUUUUAUGCUUCCAGACAUUCAAAUAAUGACAGACGUACUAAUUUACAGCUGGUUUAGGGCUUCCUGGAAUAAUAGAUUGUAUUCCCUGAAGAUGAGCUUUUGCUAAUACUGUUCACUCCAUCACUUGCUCAGAAAUAUGAAGAACUAUACUGCUCAA
rnacentral:lncRNA from 1 species